CGCAUGUCCUUCGCUCAGUCUCUCUCGAGUCUCCAUCCCUCUUCCCCGCGCGCGCGCCGCUCCCCUCUCUCCUCAUCAGACCUUUAUCCAAUGGAGGCCACCAGCACACUCGCGCUCUCCUCGUCCCCCGCCGCCGCGCGACGCUCGCAGGAGAAGUCAGCCGUCGCCUCCCUCCACCUCCGCCGCUUCCUCACGACCUCCUCACUCCACCUCCGCGCGGUCCAAAGUCCAGCACUUCGCGCUCACUCUUCAGCCUUCCAGGGAUGGAGGAGGCGGAGGAGGGCGGGCGGGCUGGUAGUCCGGGCGGAGAUGUUCGGGCAGCUAACUACCGGCCUCGAGUCUGCCUGGAACAAGCUGCGGGGAGUCGAUGUAUUGACAAAGGAAAACAUCGCCGAGCCAAUGCGGGAUAUUAGAAGAGCACUUUUGGAGGCAGAUGUAAGCUUGCCGGUAGUAAGGAGAUUUAUUGAAUCUGUAAGUGAAAAGGCUGUAGGGACCGAUGUUAUCCGAGGUGUCAGUCCUGAUCAACAGCUGGUGAAGGUUGUUAAUGAUGAACUUGUACAACUGAUGGGCGGUGAGGUAUCAGAUUUGUCAUUUGCAAAGUCUGGCCCAACUGUUAUCUUGUUAGCAGGUCUGCAAGGUGUUGGGAAGACUACUGUUUGUGCAAAGCUUGCCUUGUAUCUAAAAAAAAUGGGGAAGAGUUGUAUGCUGGUUGCUGCAGAUGUUUAUAGGCCUGCUGCCAUUGAUCAACUCAAUAUUCUGGGUAAAAAGGUUGGUGUACCAGUUUACUCAGAGGGAACUGAUGCCAAGCCUUCUCAAAUAGCCAAAAAUGGUUUGAAGGAAGGAAAAAGCCAGAAGAAGGAUGUGAUUAUAGUGGAUACUGCUGGAAGACUGCAGGUAGACAAAGCAAUGAUGAAUGAGUUGAAAGAAGUAAAAAAGGCUGUGAAUCCUACAGAAGUUCUGCUUGUGGUUGAUGCCAUGACUGGCCAAGAAGCUGCAGGAUUGGUCAGCUCCUUCAAUGAUGAGAUUGGUAUAACUGGUGCUAUACUUACAAAACUGGAUGGUGACUCCAGAGGUGGAGCAGCACUAAGUGUUAAAGAGGUGUCAGGAAAGCCCAUCAAGUUCGUAGGGCAAGGAGAACGCAUUGAAGAUCUUGAGCCUUUCUAUCCAGAUCGUAUGGCACAGCGUAUCCUGGGAAUGGGAGAUGUACUCUCAUUUGUUGAAAAAGCACAAGAAGUGAUGCGCCAAGAAGAUGCAGAGGAAUUACAGAAGAAGAUUUUGAGUGCAAAAUUUAACUUCAAUGACUUUCUGAAGCAAACACAAAUGAUCGCAAAAAUGGGUUCGUUCAGUCGUUUAAUUGGCAUGAUUCCAGGCAUGAACAAGGUUACCCCAGCACAAAUUCGUGAAGCUGAGAAGAAUCUCAAGUUUAUGGAAUCAAUGAUCAAUGUGAUGACUCCUGGUUUGUUCUCUAUCAUAACACACAUCAUAAAUAUAUCUUUUUGCAUGCACCGCCUGAAAUUCUACAACUAUGCUUUCUAACUUUCUUAUUUUCUAAAUUACUGUUCUAAGCUGUGCAAUGAGAAAAAUGGGGCAUGUACCUGAAAAUUAUUUCGUAUUGAUUGCCACAUUUUGAAUAGGCCGUCCAUGCUUGAUUAAGUGUGUGGUAAUGUGAUAUCUUUGUUGGAUAAAGAAAAAGUAUGAAUAUCUAGUUCAGUUUGCACAUGCAAUCAGCUAUUUGGUUAGUGUUCUCGCAUCCACAAGGCAGGCAUUAGGUUGCCUAAAUUUGAGAUUGCUCUGUUUUUCCAUAAAUAUAUGAUUGUUCUUAAAACUUUCAGCACAUUUUUGACAAAUUUCUUUGUUAGUCUGAACUCUCAAAGAUUGCAUUCCUCAAGCACAGCAUUUUUUUAAUCACUGCACACAUGGCACGCCUUUACUUGUAAUUUCGUAAGGCAAAAAUCCAAGCUCACUAAUUAAAUAGAGUCUCAGCUAAUAGACAAUCGUAAUGGUUUAGAAUAUGGUGAUGAUGAACCCGUUGUCCUACGAAUAGAUACCUAGUGGCCCAGUUAUUAUAUAUUCAUUUACUUGUGCAGAGGAAAGGGAAAGACCAGAAUUACUGGCUGAAUCACGUGAGAGAAGGAGAAGAGUGGCCAAGGACUCUGGAAAGACUGAACAGCAGGUGAGCCAAUUGGUUGCGCAGCUCUUCCAAAUGCGUGCCCGAAUGCAAAAAAUGAUGGGUGCCAUGCAAGGAAAAGAAUCUCCCUACAUGGACGAACUCAUGGAGUCAAUUAAGGCUGAGGAGCAGGGUGCUGCUGAUACUGGAAGGCACAGGAGGAAGUAUGGCAACCUGAGGCAGCGGCAACUGGAUGCGAUGCGUGGUUUCCGCCGACGUUGAGAUGUUAAUUGGCGACUCUGGCUGGCAGUGUCUGCUGUAUACCUACCUGAUUACCUGCAUGGAUGAUUGCAUCCCAGGGAUUUGGGUCGGAGUCAGAACUCAGAAAUGGGGAUGAAGUGCUUUUGGGUGCUCUGCAGUUAGAAUUGCAUCUGGAUACGUAUACACUGCCUAGCGGCUGUGUGCCUUCUAUAUUGCCAUAUCAACUACAGUACCUUUUGCAAUGGUAGUUGUUCUAGUUAUUUUAUAGUGAUUCCUCACUGAGACAUUUUCAUUGUGCUCUCAUUUUGCCACACUUGAUGAUUUGGAGUGGCUUAUGCCCUUUCUCUUGGAAAAAAAAAAGGGAUAAACACAUUAUUGUUCAA